CCAUGACCUUUCCCAGGAGUCCCAGACCUUACUGUAUGCGGCCCAUGUGGCUGGCGCCAGCGAAGCCUUCACAAGUCCCCCAAGCAGGUCGCCCCAAGCCGCCAAAUCUCGUCUGGGCAAGCCUGCCCCACCUCUUGCGCUUCUGGCGCCACCAUCCGGAAUUGGGACCACUGAAAACGAGACAGAGCGUCAGCCACAUCAUUCAUGAACCCAGGCACAUGGCGUGCGCGAAAAACAACAUUUAGCGACAUGCACAACAGAACGAAAUGACGUAGCAACCUGACCACGGGUUUCGAUGCCGCCGAUUGGUUAUUCACAGCGUGCACCACGGCCAUAUUGUCCGAGAAAAAGACCACCUUCCGGUCCCGCAGCCUAUCCCCCCACAGGGCCAACGUGACGACCAGCGGGAACAGCUCCAAGCCAAGUUCCGCAUGAGGGGGCUCGUUCGCCACUCCCCCGGCCAUCGCUCCGCACACCAACUUCCCCCAAAGUAGGCCCCGAAGCCCACGCUACC